rnacentral:rRNA from 1 species
UACGGAGGGGGCUAGCGUUGUUCGGAAUUACUGGGCGUAAAGCGCACGUAGGCGGCUCUGUAAGUUAGAGGUGAAAGCCCGGGGCUCAACUCCGGAAUUGCCUUUAAGACUGCAUCGCUAGAAUUGUGGAGAGGUAAGUGGAAUUCCGAGUGUAGAGGUGAAAUUCGUAGAUAUUCGGAAGAACACCAGUGGCGAAGGCGACUUACUGGACAGAUAUUGACGCUGAGGUGCGAAAGCGUGGGGAGCAAACAGG